rnacentral:rRNA from 1 species
UACGAAGGGGGCUAGCGUUGCUCGGAAUUACUGGGCGUAAAGCGCACGUAGGCGGCUUCUUAAGUCGGUGGUGAAAUCCUGGAGCUCAACUCCAGAACUGCCUUCGAUACUGGGAAGCUCGAGUCCGGGAGAGGUGAGUGGAACUGCGAGUGUAGAGGUGAAAUUCGUAGAUAUUCGCAAGAACACCAGUGGCGAAGGCGGCUCACUGGCCCGGUACUGACGCUGAGGUACGAAAGCGUGGGGAGCAAACGGG